GACGAACGCUGGCGGCGUGCCUAAUACAUGCAAGUAGAACGCUGAAGGAAGGAGCUUGCUCUUUCUGGAUGAGUUGCGAACGGGUGAGUAACGCGUAGGUAACCUGCCUGGUAGCGGGGGAUAACUAUUGGAAACGAUAGCUAAUACCGCAUAAAAUUGAUUAUUGCAUGAUAGUCAAUUAAAAGGUGCAACUGCACCACUACCAGAUGGACCUGCGUUGUAUUAGCUAGUUGGUGGGGUAACGGCACACCAAGGCGACGAUACAUAGCCGACCUGAGAGGGUGAUCGGCCACACUGGGACUGAGACACGGCCCAGACUCCUACGGGAGGCAGCAGUAGGGAAUCUUCGGCAAUGGACGGAAGUCUGACCGAGCAACGCCGCGUGAGUGAAGAAGGUUUUCGGAUCGUAAAGCUCUGUUGUAAGAGAAGAACGAGUGUGAGAGUGGAAAGUUCACACUGUGACGGUAUCUUACCAGAAAGGGACGGCUAACUACGUG
rnacentral:rRNA from 1 species